CCCCGCCCCGCCAACUGCAGGCAGCUUGUGCUACCCUUUGUAGUUUUACGGAAGGUGAAGACUAAGUUCACGCCCCCCCCCCCAGCCCCAAAGCACUCUGGGUGAGCAGCUACUCCUGUGGUUUCUCAUUGGCUCUCUCACUCUCAAAACAGCUCGUUCCCAGCCCCUCCAAGCAUUUCGUGGUCCACGUGACCAAUAGCAGCAAGAAGAAGUGGAGGUUUAUUGUCCGGCUGUACACAGCACAAGCAAGAAAGCAUGGUAUAGCAGAAAGGACUCUGGAAAGAGACUGCAGUCUGAGCUCUGGGGCUUUCUCUGAAUUCCCAUUCACCUUGGGAAUGACUCACAACUGUGUUUCAAUCUCUGCUCCAGCAAUUACAAGCUGUAGGAUCUUGGAGAAGUUACGAAUCAUCUCUGUGCUUCAUUUUGCUCAUCUAUUAACAGUCUAGUCGUAUAGCAGCUGCCUUGGGAGGCUGUUUGGAACUUUAAGUAAGUUCACAUUUGUUAAUCCUAGUGAAAGUGCCUGGCACACAGUAAGCCCUCCCUGAACGUUGCUACUAAACAACUUCCAGGUCCCUCCAACCCUUCUCACUCUUUUUCUCUUCUUCCUUCCUCUGUGCUAUUUGCCACAUGUUCCUUCUUAUGCAUUUUCUUUUGCAAUCAAUGAAUUAUUUUAAAUCAAAACCCUAGAAGUCAUUCUCUAAUUUUUUCAUUUUAUCAUUUUCACUGCCCCCUUGGUCUACCAAUUCUGACUCCUAAUGCAACCUUGCUAUUUAUGUUUUUUCACCAUAGCUUCAGCUCCACUUCACAUCUUUCUCAGGGCUUAUCAGCUCAUUGCAAAACCUGCUCUGGUCCCCUCCUUCCUCAACCCAUCCUUAUAAUUGCCACAAUAAUUACAUUUCUUUCUUUCUUUCUUUUUUUUUUUUGAGACGGAGUUUCGCUCUUGUUACCCAGGCUGGAGUGCAAUAGCGCGAUCUCAGCUCACCGCAACCUCCGCCUCCUGGGUUCGGGCAAUUCUCCUGCCUCAGCCUCCCGAGUAGCUGGGAUUACAAGCACACGCCACCAUGACCAGCUAAUUUUCUGUAUUUUUAGUAGAGACGGGGUUUCACCAUGUUGACCAGGAUGGUCUCGAUAUCUUGACCUUGUGAUGCACCUGCCUUGGCCUCCCAAAGUGCUGGGAUUACAGGCUUGAGCCACCGCACCCGGCCACAUUUCUUAAAUAAUAAUAUUUACUGUUUUAUUUUACUAACAUGACAUGGUACACCAUGCUAUGGACUUUGAAUUUU
rnacentral:lncRNA from 1 species